GUGAGGAAUAUUGGACAAUGGGCGCAAGCCUGAUCCAGCCAUGCCGCGUGCAGGAAGACGCAUCUAUGGUGUGUAAACUGCUUUUGUACGGGAAGAAACACUCCCUCGUGAGGGAGCUUGACGGUACCGUAAGAAUAGGAUCGGCUAACUCCGUGCCAGCAGCCGCGGUAAUACGGAGGAUCCAAGCGUUAUCCGGAAUCAUUGGGGUUAAAGGGUCCGUAGGCGGUUUAAUAAGUCAGUGGUGAAAGCCCAUCGCUCAACGAUGGAACGGCCAUUGAUACUGUUAGACUUGAAUUACAAGGAAGUAACUAGAAUAUGUAGUGUAGCGGUGAAAUGCUUAGAUAUUACAUGGAAUACCAAUUGCGAAGGCAGGUUACUACUUGUGGAUUGACGCUGAUGGACGAAAGCGUGGGGAGCGAACAGGAUUAGAAACCCGGGUAGUCC
rnacentral:rRNA from 1 species